CAAUCACAACUGACCUUUAUUAACCAGCAAAGAAGAUCAUUUUAUCUCUGGACCUCUUACUCAUUAAUAUUAGGAAUUUUCAUUAGUUUUUGUUGUGUUUUGUUUUUUGUUCUUUGGGUACCAGGGAUCAAACUCAAGACCUAGCGCUCGCAAGUGGCCCUAUUAGUUCUUAAUAGUGGGAGUCAGGUGCCAAAUUGCAUGUAGCAAUUCAUACUUGAUAGUAAGUAAAUCUUUUAUUAAAUGGCUAAAUUAAAUUAUUUCACACUACCAGCACUACUGAGGUUGAUGAAAUGACAGAGGAAUAAGAAGUACUAGCCCUCUUUAUUUUUUUAAUGUUAUAGAAUUAGAAGCCAACUGUCAAAGGCUUACAACGAAAUCUUGUAUUUGUCAGUUCCUGGCUGCAGGUUUUGGAAGUUGGAUUCACCUGACCCAACAUUUACAACUGGCUUCCAUCUGUUACCUAGAUACUUUAACAAAGUAAAUCAUUUUAAAUAAAGGGAACUUGGAUCAGCAAUUUAUGGAGUGUUCAGCUAGGUUCUUCUGUCUGGGAAAGCCUUUACCUUUUUAUCAAGUUGGCAAUAAAACAAUUGGGAAUACUUUACAUUGAACAGUGAGGCAAGAAUAUAUUGUGGCAGAUAUUAGCCAGUUGAGAUAAAAUUUGGAAAGAUUUUAUUUUUUUGUCAGAGAGAUUCCUAAAUAAAUAUGAGGGGUUUAGACAGCUCAGUUAAGACAUGGGAGAAAAAAGGCUAGGGGUUGAGGUUAUAGCUUUAUUUAUGUAGGGGAUGUGAGGUUCAUAGGUUCAAUUCCUAGCAACACACACACAAAAUCUAGUCAAAAGACUUCAACUGAUAUUUCAUAACCAGGAUGUCCAAGUACGUAAUAAACACAUAGUAGCUUUGUACUGUCAGUCAUAACAGAAACACAGAUUUAAACUUCAGUGAUACACCCCAUAUACCCACCAAAACAGCUUUUAAAAGGCUGAAUACCAAGUGUUGGUGAGAAUAUGGAGCAACAGAUAAUACCAUACACUGCUGAUAGAAGUUGUAAAUUUUGCAAAUGCAUUGGAAAACAACUUGGCAACAAUACUGACUAAAACAGACGUCUGUUCCUAUCAAAUGAAUAUUAAAACAUUGAAGAUCCCCAAAAUGUUGAUAUCACAGGUUCAUGCCUUUAGAUUAAGUCUUCUAGAUUGUAGAGAAUAGAGAUUAAUCUGUGUUCCAAACCAAGAAAGUUUAGAAUGUGCUACCUCUAAAGAAAGCUAGAAAUAUAUACUUUACUUGAGUGCUCUUACUGUUCAUAAAUUGUUGCUCUCUAAUCAUCUGCCUGUAGCUACAAUUAAUAAAUGUUAACUCCACCCUCUUAUUCUCUCUGAUGUGGCUGUAUUUAAAUCAAACACUGGUGAUAAUGGAACUAAAGCCAGGAGCAACUCCAGUUCAAAUCUGACAACACCCCCUCCCCUAGGAAGCCAUACAAGGCAUUCAUGGACAUUUAAAGUGGCUCUAAGAACAUAGAGUCUUGACUAGAUGCCAUCCCUCCUGAAACACCCUGUUCCUGCCAGUGCAUAAGUCAAGAAAAAUGAAUACAGACCAGUACAGGACCUGGAUGCCAUAAAUCAGGUUAUUGAGACUACACAUUUGAUGGUGCCAAAUCCACAAACACUGAUGGGAUUUAUUCCACCAAGUGCUGCCUGGUUUCUCUGCCUAGAUUUAAAAGCUGCUUUUUUCUGCCUCCACUUGGAAUCAGUCAACCCAUUUUUUCGUUUCAGUGGGAGGACCCACUUACUGGCAUAAAAGAGCAUCUCACUUAGACGUGGCUUCCCCAGGGGUUUAUGAACUCCCCUAUGAUCUUUGGGGAUCGGAUAAGGCCACUGAUCUCAAGGCCUUUCCUACACUAAUAAUUGACUGUUUUACUACAAUAUUUAUAUGAUCUUCUUUUCCAGUUCCCUCUCUUGAGGACUGUCUCCAAGGGACCAGAGAUGAUCUUAACCUGUUCUAGAAUGCCAGUUGCAGGAAUCAUGCCUUGGAUCCACCACAGUUGGCUGAAACAGGCUACCCAAGACUGCUAGACAAGCCAGCAGGAUCCAGAACACCCGAACUAGCUGAUCCUGUGACAAGAUCACCACCAGAGAUGACAGCCCUGUUCUAGUCACCCUGGAAGCUGACAAGUCUAUGCACAGCCAAGGCUUGUAGAUCAAUACAGAAUCACAAUGACAACAAAUUUCUUAUCCUCUUUGUUGUAAUUCUCCCUUGCCUCUUAUCCCUACUUGUGAAAAACAUUCAAUUGGCCAGAGUCUCUUGACAGGCAUACCACUACUUGACUGACAGCCUUAAAUAAGUGCCAAUCUCUGCUCAGUAGGUUGUACUGUCCAUCCACAUUGUGACAAAAAAAUAAUGAUGAUUAUAUUUUCUAGUAAAUCUUGUUAUGAAAAGCAUCAAAGGGGACUGGGGAUUUAGCUCAGUGGUUCUGGCACCUGCCGCACAUGCACAAGGUCCUGAGUUUGAUCCCCGGUACUAAAAACAAAAGCAUCAAAUGAGGGAAUGAAGCAGGACUUUAAAAAAGCACAAGCCUAGAGCACUCCCCCCCAGUCACCCCUCUCCUCUAUAGCUGUAACUCCUUGUUUUGCUACAGAUAACAUAAACAACAAGGUUCUUGCUAACAGAGUCCAGUGAAGACCUGACUUCAUAGGAAUCUGGUUUCCUUCAAGGAUGUACACUCAUCCUGGUACUAAUAGGACAGUUACAUGAAAUGUAAAUGAGGUCUUUGUAACUUUAGGGAACUGCAUGGCCUCAAAAGAUACAAAUGAGAUUGACAACUAUGCCUUGUAAACAAAGUUCAUAAUGCCUUCACAAAAGAUUCACAGGAAACAAAACUGUCAUCAUGUGAGACAUGACUAACUUGCUUUUUCUUUGCUUCUAUAACUUCACUUGCCCCCCAUCUUUCAUGUCACUAGAAAGAACACUCCCCUUUGAUCAAAUGUAUAAAAGCUGGAACUUCUCUUUGUUCAACACUCUUCCUAUGCACAGAAAUCCAUUUAGCCAGUAUACAAUUUAAACCUUAAAAUAAAAUCCUCCUGAUUCCCA